rnacentral:misc_RNA from 1 species
GAAAUGCGAUAAGUAGUGUGAAUUGCAGAAUUCAGUGAAUCAUCGAAUCUUUGAACGCACAUUGCGCCCCUUGGUAUUCCAUGGGGCAUGCCUGUUCGAGCGUCAUUUGUACCCUCAAGCUCUGCUUGGUGUUGGGUGUUUGUCCCCGUCUCCGCGCGUGGACUCGCCCCAAAGUGAUUGGCAGCCGGCGUACUGGUCCCGGAGCGCAGCACAUGUCGCGCAAACGAGUGCCUUGGUACGGCGGCGUCCAUAAGCCCCUCUCUCACGCUCAUGACCUCGGAUCAGGUAGGGAUACCCGCUGAACUUAAGC